rnacentral:rRNA from 1 species
UACAGAGGGGGCAAGCGUUGUUCGGAUUUACUGGGCGUAAAGGGCGGGUAGGCGGCCACCGCAAGUCGACUGUGAAAUCUCCGGGCUUAACCCGGAAAGGUCAGCCGAUACUGCGGGGCUAGAGUGCAGAAGGGGCAACUGGAAUUCUCGGUGUAGCGGUGAAAUGCGUAGAUAUCGAGAGGAACACCUGCGGCGAAGGCGGGUUGCUGGGCUGACACUGACGCUGAACUGCGAAAGCUAGGGGAGCGAACGGG